UACGUAGGGACCAAGCGUUGUUCGGAUUUACUGGGCGUAAAGGGCGCGUAGGCGGCGUGACAAGUCACUUGUGAAAUCUCCGGGCUUAACUCGGAACGGCCAAGUGAUACUGUCGUGCUAGAGUGCAGAAGGGGCAAUCGGAAUUCUUGGUGUAGCGGUGAAAUGCGUAGAUAUCAAGAGGAACACCUGAGGUGAAGACGGGUUGCUGGGCUGACACUGACGCUGGAGGCGACGAAAGCUAGGGGAGCAAACGGG
rnacentral:rRNA from 1 species